rnacentral:rRNA from 1 species
GACGAACGCUGGCGGCGUGCCUAAUACAUGCAAGUUGAGCGCUGAAGGUUGGUACUUGUACCAACUGGAUGAGCAGCGAACGGGUGAGUAACGCGUGGGGAAUCUGCCUUUGAGCGGGGGACAACAUUUGGAAACGAAUGCUAAUACCGCAUAAAAACUUUAAACACAAGUUUUAAGUUUGAAAGAUGCAAUUGCAUCACUCAAAGAUGAUCCCGCGUUGUAUUAGCUAGUUGGUGAGGUAAAGGCUCACCAAGGCGAUGAUACAUAGCCGACCUGAGAGGGUGAUCGGCCACAUUGGGACUGAGACACGGCCCAAACUCCUACGGGAGGCAGCAGUAGGGAAUCUUCGGCAAUAGACGAAAGUCUGACCGAGCAACGCCGCGUGAGUGAAGAAGGUUUUCGGAUCGUAAAACUCUGUUGGUAGAGAAGAACGUUGGUGAGAGCGGAAAGCUCAUCAAGUGACGGUAACUACCCAGAAAGGGACGGCUAACUACGUG